rnacentral:lncRNA from 1 species
AGGUUGGAGGGACACUUAUACCCAUAUCCCUCGCAAGCUACUUUUGAUAGUAGAAUACUUCAUAAUUGAUCACAUUUAAUAUAAAUGUACUCCAACAUUUCACCUGUAUGUCAUACCAGUGUCUCCACACUCUUUGUUUACGAGGACAACCAAUGCAUAAGGUACACAAUGACCUAUACUUGAUAAUCACUAUCAUCCUAG